CAGCAGUGAGGAAUAUUGGUCAAUGGACGGGAGUCUGAACCAGCCAAGUAGCGUGCAGGAUGACGGCCCUAUGGGUUGUAAACUGCUUUUGUGCGGGGAUAAAGUGUGGGACGCGUCCCAUAUUGCAGGUACCGCAUGAAUAAGGACCGGCUAAUUCCGUGCCAGCAGCCGCGGUAAUACGGAAGGUCCGGGCGUUAUCCGGAUUUAUUGGGUUUAAAGGGAGCGUAGGCCGGAGAUUAAGCGUGUUGUGAAAUGCCGCGGCUCAACCGUGGCACUGCAGCGCGAACUGGUUUUCUUGAGUGCGCGCGACGCAGGCGGAAUUCGUGGUGUAGCGGUGAAAUGCUUAGAUAUCACGAGGAACCCCGAUUGCGAAGGCAGCUUGCGGGAGCGCAACUGACGCUGAAGCUCGAAGGUGCGGGUAUCGAACAGGAUUAGA
rnacentral:rRNA from 1 species